rnacentral:rRNA from 1 species
UGGGGAAUAUUGCGCAAUGGACGAAAGUCUGACGCAGCGACGCCGCGUGGGUGAUGAAGGCCUUCGGGUCGUAAAGCCCUGUUGAGGGAGAGAAAGCUACUGUCGGUUAAUACCCGGCAGUGGUGAUAGUAUCCCUAGAGAAAGCACCGGCUAACUACGUGCCAGCAGCCGCGGUAAUACGUAGGGGGCAAGCGUUGCUCGGAAUUACUGGGCGUAAAGGGUGUGUAGGUGGCUGAUUAAGUUAAGGAUGAAAUCCCGAGGCUCAACUUCGGAACUGUCCUUGAUACUGGUCAGCUUGAGGCUAGUAAAGGAGAGCGGAAUUCCCGGUGGAGCGGUGAAAUGUGUAGAUAUCGGGAGGAACACCAGAGGCGUAGGCGGUUCUCUAGGCUAGUCCUGACACUGAGACACGAAAGCUAGGGGAGCAAACG